UUCUGCAAUGAUCCAGCGCCAACGUUUGGGACGGCAUAGUGUCACACUCCAAUAAUCCCACAUCGGAUAGAAAUGGGAAUGUGAUUGGGUAUAUAAGAGACUUAGACACUAGUAAUAAUAACUCGACUUAAGCAUUUUGGGCCGGUAGUUUGGGCCCAACGAAUUAUUGUUGCUAGUAGGCUGGGUCGUUAUAUUAAAUAUCAGAAUCGGUUCACCUGCUGGAAAUGUGUGGCGAGUCUCGAGUGAGUCAGGCUCUGAAAGACAAGUGAUGGGCUAUGUUGGAGUCUGAGUGACAAGGUGAUUGGCUAUGCCAGAGUCAGGAUGUUUUAACGGGGGGAGUCUGUCACACCCAAUAAUCCCACAUCGGAUAGAAAUGGGGAUGUCACACCCCAAUAAUCCCACAUCCCAUAAAAAUGGGGAUGCGAUUGGGUAUAUAAGAGACUUAAAUACUAGUAAUAAUAACUGGGCUUAAGCAUUUUGGGUCGGUGGUUUGGAACUAAUAAGUUAUUGUUGCUAAUAACGGGGGGAGUCCAAAACAUGC
rnacentral:lncRNA from 1 species